AGUGGCUCGAUCUUGGCUCACUGCAACCUCUGCCUCUGGGAUUCAGGGGAUUCUCCUGCCUCAGCCUCCUGAGUAGCUUAGAUUACAGGCACACACCACCACACCAGGUUAAUUUUUGUAUUUUUAUUUUUAAUUAAUUAAUUAAUUAAGUUUUUAGACUGAGUCUCCUUCUGUCGCCCAGGCUGGAGGGUGAUGGCAUGAUCUUGGCUCACUGCAACCUCUGCCUCCUGGGUUCAAGCAAUUCUCCUGCCUCAACCUCCUGAGUAGCUGGGAUUACAGGCACGUGUCACCACACCCAGCUAAUUUUUGUAUUUUUAGUAGAAACGGGGUUUCAGCAUGUUGCCCAGGCUGGUCUCGAAUUCCUGACCUCAAGUGAUCUGCCCACCCCGGCCUCCCAAAGUGCUGGGAUUACAGGUGAAAGUAAAUGAGCCUGGCCUAGACAUUCUUUAAAAAACAAAACAAAACAAAAAAAAAAACCUGUUGGCCAGGUGUGAUGGCUCAGGCUGUAAUCCUAGCACUUUGUGAGGCCAAGGCAAGAGGGUCACUUGAGGCCAGGAGUUCAAGACAAGCCUGGGCAACAUAGGGAGACCCCCAUCUCUAAGAAAAAUUAAAAAAAGGUUGGCAGGGCGCGGUGGCUCACGCCUUUAAUCCCAGCACUUUGGGAGGCCAAGGAGGGUGGAUCCACGAAGUCAGGAGUUCGAGAUAAGCCUGACCAACAGAGUGAAACCCCGUCUCUAUUAAAAAUACAAAAAUUAGUCUGGCAUGGUGGUGCACGCCUGUAGUCUCAGCUACUCGGGAGGCUGAGGCAGGAGAAUCUCUUGAACCUGGGAGGUGGAGGUUGCAGUGAGCUGAGAUCGUGCCACUGCACUCCAGCCUAGGUGACAGAGCGAGACUCCAUCUCAAAAUAAAUGAAUGAAUGAAUGAAUGAAUGGUUAACUGGGUGUGGUGGUGCACACCUGUAGUCCCUGCUACUUGGGAGGCUGAGGCAGGAGGAUCACUUGAGCCCAGGAGUUUAAGGCUAUAGUGAACUGUGAUCAUGCCACUGUACUUUAGCCUGGGAAAGAAAGACCCUGUUUCUAUUAAAAAAAAAAAAAAGUCAGUAAUGACAGAGUCUAAUAACAAAAAGGCUGCGUGUGGUGGCUCACGCCUGUAAUCCCAACACUUUGGGGGGCCGAGGCAGGCGGAUCACCUGAGGUCAGGAGUUCAAGACCAGCCUGGCCAAUAUAGUGAAACCCCGUCUCUACCUAAAAAUACAAAAAUUAGCCAGGCGUGGUGUUGUGUGCCUGUAGUCCCAGCUACUUGAGAGGCUGAGGUUUACUUGUGAGGAAAGGAUUACUUCAGCCCAGGAGGCAGAGAUUGCAGUGAACUGAGAUCGCGCCACUGUACUCUAGACUGAGUGACAGAGUGAGAGUCUCUCUCAGAGGAAAAAAAAAAAAAAAAAAAAAGCAUCAGGACCGGGGGGGUCCUGCAUUUGAUACCCAGCCUUGCUUCUUUGCUGUGGGUAAGUGACUUUGUCUCUCUGAACCUCAGUUUCCUGAACUGUAAAAUAGGGCUAUUAAAGGUAGGAGAAUUCACUUAAGAGGUAGACAGAGUCGCUGUACAUAAGCAGGAGGUUUCUUUUUUAGAGUGAUUGAAAUAUUUUAAAAUUAGAUUGUAGUCAUGGUUGUUUGUACAGAAGUCAUUGAAUUAUGUGCUUAAAAGGGAUGAAUCUUAUGGUAUUCUAAAUCGUAUCUCAAGAAAGCAAGGCUGGGGCAUGGUGGCUCACAUCUGUAAUCCCAGUACUUUGGGAUGCCAAGGCGGGGUCAUUUGAGGCCAGGAGUUCAAGGCUAGCUUGGGCAACAUUGCAAGACCUCAUUUCUCCAAAAAAAAAAAAAAAAAUUAAAAACAAGCUGGGCUUCGGCAUGGCGUGGUGGCUUAUGCCUGUAAUCCCAGCACUUUGGGAGGCCAGAACAGAUGGAUCACCGGAAGUCAGGAGUUCAAGACCAGCCUGGCCAGGCCAGACAUGGUGGCUCACGCCUGUAAUCCCAGCACUUUGGGAGGCCAAGGCGGGCGGAUCACGAGGUCAGGAGAUCAAGACCAUCCUGGCUAACACGGUGAAACCCCGUCUCUACUAAAAAUACAAAAAAUUAGCCAGGCGUGGUGGUGGGCGCCUGUAGUCCCAGCUACUCAGGAGGCUAAGGCAGGAGGAUGGAGUGAACCCGGGAGGCGGAGCUUGCAGUGAGCCCAGAUCGAACCACUGCACUCCUGCCUGGGCGACAGAGUGAGACUCUGUCUCAAAAAAAAAAAAAAAAAAAAAAAGGCCGGGCACGGUGGCUCAUGCCUGUAAUCUCAGCACUUUGGGAGGCCGAGGCAGGUGGAUCAUCUGAGGUUGGGAGUUCGAGACCAGCCUGACCAACAUGGAGAAACCCUGUCUUUACUAAAAAUACAAAAUUAGCCUUGUGUGGUGUCGCAUGCCUGUAAUCCCAGCUACUCAGGUGGCUGAGGCAAGAGAAUAGCUUGAUCCUGGGGGUCGGAGGUUGUGGUGAGCUAAGAUCCUGCCAUUGCACUUCAGCCUGGGCAAUAAGAGCGAAACUCCGGUCUCAAACAAACAAACAAAAAACACCAAAGAAAAAAAAAAAACCAGCUGGGCUUCCUGCUGGCUCACACCUGUAGUCCCUGCUACUCAGGAGGCUAAGGGUGGGAGGAGGAUUUCUUGAGCCUGGGAGUUUGAGGCUGCAGUCAGCUACGAUUGUACCACUGCACUCCAGCCUGGGUGACAAAGUGAGACCCUGAGACCCUGUCUCUAAAAAUAAAACAGAAAGCUGUUAAGCUGUUAAAAACAAAAACAAAAAAAUAUAUAUAUAUAUAGUCAAGAAAACUCUGACCUCCAGCUCUUCUCUCUUACCACCUCCUAUAGACUCUUGCAGAACUUGAGGUACCCUCAAACCUCAGCCCCUAGAGGAAACCCAGCUCAGCUGCCUGGUGCAGCGGGGAGGAAGUCUGUCCUGCUCUCACCUCUUCUUGACCCUGACCUGCAGUCCUUUACCAAAUCCUGGUCACUGAAGUAUUCAAAUACUUGUCUGUCCUUCCCUUCUUGAAUACGGUCACUGCCCACAACAUGGGCCGCGUGGACAAGGACCAUAGCCAACUGCUCAUUGGCUUCCAGUAAAUCCAGCCUUCAGCUAUCUAAUCCCUGGCCUGCUCAGAAACCCUCCAUGACUCCCUAUCACCCCAAGAAGGAAAGUCCCAGCUCCUCCACCUGGCAUUCAAGGCUCUGCCAACCUCACCCUUCCUCCCAUCAAUCAAUUUUUUUUUUUUUUUUAGGGGCAGUGUCUCUCUCUGUCACCUGGGCUGGAAUGCAGUGGUGCAAUCAUAGCUGACUGUAACCUCAAAUUCCUGGGCUUGACCAGGCUCAGUGGCUCACACCUAUAAUCCCAGCACUUUGGGAAACUGAGGCAGGAGGAUCUCUUGCGGUCAGGCGUUCAAGACCAGCCUGGCUAACAUGGUAAACCCUAUCUCUACUAAAAAUACAAAAAAAUUAGCUGGGCAUGAUGGUGGGCACCUUAAUCCCAGCAACUCGGGAGGCUCAGGCAGCAGAAUCGGUUGAACCCAGGAGGUGGAGGAGGCUGCAGUGAGCCAAGAUGGCACCACUGCACUCCAGCCUGGGCCACAGAGUGAGACUCCAUCUCAAAAAAACAAAAACAAAAACAAAAAAAUUCCUGGGUUCAAGUGAUCCUCCCACUUGAGCCUCCAGAGUAGUUGAGAAUACAAGCAUAUGCCACUGUACCCUAAUUUUUUUAUUUUUUCUUAGAGACAGGGUCUCGCUAUGUUGCCCAGGCUGGUCUCGAACUCCUGGGCUCAAACAAUCCUCUUGCUUUGGCCUCCCAAAGCACUGGGAUUACAGGUGUGAGCCACUGCACCUGGCCUACACCAACCUACCUCCUCCUCCUCCUGCCUCCAUCAAGAUUUCUCCCUGCUCCCAACUUUUGCCCAGGCUGUUCCUCCUGCCCAGAAUGCCUGUCCUUAUGAACUCCUACACAUCCUUCAAAGCCCAGCUAGUGGUCGCCUCCUCUAGGAAUUACACCUCUAACCUUUUUGGAGAAGAUUGAGCCAUCCAGGGAGGCUUCUUUAUGUUUACACCAGGGGUGGGGCAAGACCAAGCUAGAGUCUCUCUCAGGUACCACCCUCCCACAUAACUUUUACUCCUUUGCUACCUGUGCCAGCCAUCUGCUCCAUUUCACAGAGGUAAAAACUAAGGCAAAGUGGGGCACCCACAGUCAUAGAGGGAGAAAUGUGGCAGAGCCAGGUCUCAAACCUGGAGUUCUAUGCUCUCAGCUAUCAGGCAGAGCCGCGCGUGGUGGCUCAAGCCUGUAAUCCCAGCACUUCGGGAGGCUGAGGCGGGUGGAUCACCAGAGGUCUAGAGUUCGAGACCAGCCUGGCCAACUUGGCGAAACCCUGUCUCUACUAAAAAUACAAAAAUUAGCCAGGCGUGGUGCCAGGUGCCUGUAAUCCCAGCUACUGGAGAGGAUGAGGCAGGAGAACUGCUUGAACCCGGGAGAUGGAGGUUGCAGUGAUCCAGCCUGGGCGACAGAGCAAGACUGUGUGUCAAAAAAAAGAAAAAAAAAAAAAAAAAAAAAAAGACCUAUCAGGCAGAGAUGCAGAAAAGACCUUCAAAGAGGUUUCCCUGGGGUUUCCAGAAGCUGCUGGGAAUGUUCGGGGACUUCCCUCACCUGGGAAGGUCAGCAUCUGCUCACCCACCCUCCAAAUCAGAAGCAAAGCUGAUCAUUUGAUCAUUUACCCAGAGGCUUCCUUGCCCUGACACAAUGAUAGGAGAACAUCCUUUGUCACUCACCGUGUCAUUUUCCCCAUCAGAGGAGGUCUCACCUGAUUGCAAAGUAAAUGCAGAAGUCAUGUCCCAAGCUAUUAAAGGCCUUGCUGGGACUGGAACCCAAGGCUAAUCCCAAAGCUACUUGGCCAGUUUUUAUUUUUUAGAGACAGGGUCUUUCUCUGUCACCCAGGCUGGAGUGCAGUGGUGUCAUCACGGCUCACUACAGCCUGGACCUCCCAGGCUCAGGUGAUCCUCCCACCUCAGCCUCCUGAGUAGCUGGGACUACUAGUAUGCCAGCACGCUUGGUUAGGUUUUUUAUUUUUUGUAGAUAUGGGGUCUUGCUAUGUUGCCCAGGCUGGUGUCCAACUCCUGGCCUCCAAGCGAUCCUUCUACUUCGGCCUUCUAAAUCACUGGGAUUAUAGGCAUGAGCCACGUGCCUAGCCUGCCCAGUGCUCUUCUGUUUUUUCUUCUUUGAUUUUGUUUUGUUUUCAUUUGAAUUCCUUAUUUUGGCCUUGAUAACUCUUUCCCACCAUUCGAAGUCCCCAAAGUAGGAAGGACGCAAAGAGAAAUUCUCGGCUGGGGGCAGUGGCUCACGCCUGUAAUCCCAGCACUUUGGGAGGCCGAGGCGGGCAGAUCACAAGGUCAGGAGAUCAAGACCAGCCUGGCCAACAUGAUGAAAUCCCGUCUCUACUAAAAAUACAAAAAUUAGCCGGGCGUGGUGCUGGGCGCCUGUAAUUCCAGCUACUUGGGAGGCUGAGGCAGGAGAAUUGCUUGAACCCGGGAGGGAGAGGUUGCAGUGAGCUGAGAUUACACCAUUGCACUCCAGGCUGGGGACACAGCAAAACUCCAUCUCAAAAAGACAACAACAAAAAAAGAAUUCUCAGCCAGGCAAAGUGGCUCACGUUGUAAUCCCAGCACUUUGGGAGGCCGAGGCGGGCGGAUCACCUGAGGUCAGAGUUCAAGACCAGCCUGACCAACAUGGAGAAACCCUGUCUCUACUAAAAAUACAAAAUUUGCCAGGCGUAGUGGCCCAUGCCUGUAAUCCCAGCUAGUCGGGAGGCUGAGGCCGGAGAAUCACUUAAACUCAGGAGGUGAAGGUUGCGGUGAGCUGAGAUCGUGCCAUUGCACUCCAGCCUGGGCAACAAGAGUGAAACUCUGUCUCAAAAAAAGGAAAAAACAAAAAGAAUUCUCCACACCCAAGCCCUCUCCCACAGCCUCCCAGCCUCUCUUCUCAUAGCCAGCUAAUAUUGUCAUUUCUCCCACUUCCUUUUAGGGCUAUUUUAUACAUAAAUACAGCCUCCCCGAAACUGCCCUUCCCUAAUGUGAGGGUGGCAUACCACUCAUAUUCAACAUACCUUCUUUUAUUUCUUUUUUUUUUUUUUUUGAGAUGGAGUUUUGCUCUUGUUGCCCAAGCUGGAGUGCAGUGGCGCAAUCUCAGCUCACCGCAACCUCUGCCUCCCAGUUUCAAGAGAUUCUCCUGCCUCAGCCUCCCGAGUAGCUGGGAUUACAGGUAUGUGCCACUAUGCCUGGCUAGUUUUUUUUGUAUUUUUAAUAGAGACGGGGUUUCUCCAUGGUGGUCAGGCUGGUCUCGAACUCCUGACCUCAAGUGAUCCGCCUCCCUCAGCCUCCCAAAGUGCUGGGAUUACAGGCGUGAGCCACCGUGCCCAGCCCAUGACAUUUUGAGAACUGAUGCCCAAUUUCCCGCCACAGGGUUGGGCUUAUUUAUGCUCCCAACAGCACUGUCCUAGGACCUCCUACGUUCCAAUAGCCUUGGCAGCACAGCUGUUAUCAAUUCUUUUUUUUUUUUUUUUUUUUGAGAUGGAGUCUUGCUCUGUCGCCCAGGCUGGAGUGCAGUGGCACGAUCUUGGCUCACUGCAAGCUCUGCCUCCCGGGUUCAUG
rnacentral:lncRNA from 10 species